UACGUAGGGUGCAGGCGUUAAUCGGAAUUACUGGGCGUAAAGCGUGCGCAGGCGGUUUGCUAAGACAGGUGUGAAAUCCCCGGGCUUAACCUGGGAACUGCGCUUGUUACUGGCAGACUUGAGUGUGGCAGAGGGGGGUGGAAUUCCAGGUGUAGCAGUGAAAUGCGUAGAGAUCUGGAGGAACACCGAUGGCGAAGGCAGCCCCCUGGGUUAACACUGACGCUCAUGCACGAAAGCGUAGGGGAGCAAACACGGG
rnacentral:rRNA from 1 species